GAACUGCGAUAAGUAAUGUGAAUUGCAGAAUUCAGUGAAUCAUCGAGUCUUUGAACGCACAUUGCGCCCCCUGGCAUUCCGGGGGGCAUGCCUGUCCGAGCGUCAUUGCUGCCCUUCAAGCCCGGCUUGUGUGUUGGGUCGUCGUCCCCUCCGGGGGACGGGCCCGAAAGGCAGCGGCGGCACCGCGUCCGGUCCUCGAGCGUAUGGGGCUUUGUCACCCGCUCGAUAAGGAUCGGCCGGGCGCCAGCCGGCGUCUCCAACCUUUUUUUCUCAGGUUGACCUCGGAUCAGGUAGGGAUACCCGCUGAACUUAAGC
rnacentral:misc_RNA from 1 species